rnacentral:misc_RNA from 1 species
GUUUUUUCAAGUAAAAAAACAGCAAUAGCAUUCAUUACUAAAAGAAUAAUAUAAGCAUUCAACAUAGAAUAUGUAUUUUUAAGCAUCAUUGAAGCAAAGACGGCUUCAAUUAAGUGCAUACAUUCAUUUCAAAGGAACAACAAACAAAACACUGCCAAAAUAUAGAUAAUAGGACAAAGAACCACGAGAACUUCCUAAUAUUCUUCAUCAUCACCAUCGUCACCCUCAGCUGAUUCAGCACCAACCUCUUCAUAAUCCUU